AAUCUCAAAAUAAAAUAAUCAUCUCAUCCAAUAGCGAUGCUAAUCAGAUCCCGGCAACAAACCUCAGGAUGAAUCAAAUCAAAGAUUCCCCAAAUGAUCAGUCAACAUACAUAAAUUUCAACAACUUACCUUAUUUUUGACAACGCUCGAGGACGAACGCUUUUAAGAGGGAAGUUUAAGCUUUUAGAUUAAGAACAUUGUAAAAAUCAGUUUUUAAAUAAAGUUAUAACGAGAAGGUCGUGCUGACCGAAAAACGAUUUUUUUUCCUUCAAUAAGCAGGAAAAUCGUUAAGUUAUACUUACAUACAAAUAUGUUGAUUUCGCAAUUGCCCAUAUGCGAUGUUUGUAUGUAUCUACAUAAGUUUAAAGAAAUCAAAGUCAAGGUUAUUGUUUUCAGAAUAUACUUACAUAGAAAUAUGUUGAUUUCGCAAUUGCCCAUAUGCGAUGUCUGUAUGUAUCUACAUAAGUUUAAACAAAUCAAAGUCAAGGUUAUUGUUUUCAGAAUAUACUUAUAUGCAAAUUUUAUUGAGUUAUUAUUAUUUAAAAUUAACAAUUUAAAGAUUUAUUAACAAUUUGUUUUUAUAAAAUGGUGAAAAAAAUGUUAAAAAAAUUAUAAUGCAGAAUUACGAAAUUGUCCAUUUCAAAUGGAAAUUUCUCACACGACUUAAUAUAUAAAAAAAGUUAUUGAAUUUUACUUGCAUUUUUAAACACAAAUGUUGCACUUAAACAAGAUGGAAACAACAUUUGUGUUUAAAAAAGCUAAGCUCAGUUGCAAAGCUAUUAAAGGAGAAAAAUAAGAAGAAGAAAAAAG